rnacentral:lncRNA from 1 species
GUUCCUUGCGAGGAAAGACCCAUCUCACAAAAAAUGAUGGGGUGUGGAUGUGGAGCAGGUGAGCAUCUGUUGGACAGGCUAAAGACCAGCUGUGUUUUGCCGUCACCGUCACCAACCAUAUCCAUCCAUCUGUGGAUGAUGCCAGGAACAGAUUCUUGA